rnacentral:tRNA from 1 species
UUUAAGAUGGCAGAAAAAUGCGUUGGAUUUAAGCUCCAAAGAUGGUAAAACCCUCUU